UACAGAGGGGGCAAGCGUUGUUCGGAAUUACUGGGCGUAAAGGGCGCGUAGGCGGCCCGCUAAGUCGAACGUGAAAUCCCCGAGCUCAACUCGGGAACUGCGUCCGAUACUGGCGGGCUUGAAUCCGGGAGAGGGAUGCGGAAUUCCAGGUGUAGCGGUGAAAUGCGUAGAUAACUGGAGGAACACCGGUGGCGAAGGCGGCAUCCUGGACCGGCAUUGACGCUGAGGCGCGAAAGCUAGGGGAGCAAACGGG
rnacentral:rRNA from 1 species